rnacentral:rRNA from 1 species
AUUGAACGCUGGCGGCAGGCUUAACACAUGCAAGUCGAGCGGGGUGAUGGUGCUUGCACUAUCACUUAGCGGCGGACGGGUGAGUAAUGCUUAGGAAUCUGCCUAUUAGUGGGGGACAACAUCUCGAAAGGGAUGCUAAUACCGCAUACGUCCUACGGGAGAAAGCAGGGGAUCACUUGUGACCUUGCGCUAAUAGAUGAGCCUAAGUCGGAUUAGCUAGUUGGUGGGGUAAAGGCCUACCAAGGCGAAGAUCUGUAGCGGGUCUGAGAGGAUGAUCCUCCAGCAUGGGACUGAGACACGGCCCAGAAUCCUUCGGAAGACAGCAGUGGGAAAUAUUAGACAAGGGGGGAACCCUGAUCCAGCCGUACCGCGUGUAUGGAGAAGGCCUUAUGGUUGUAAAGCACUUUAAGCGAGGAGGAGGCUCUUUUGGUUAAUACCCAAGAUGAGUGGACGUUACUCGCAGAAUAAGCACCGGCUAACUCUGUGCCAGCCGCCGGCCGUAA